rnacentral:rRNA from 1 species
AUGGACGCCGUUGAAGAUUCAGCAACGGCGGCGGGUGCGGCAGCGGAGAUGGGGCUGGACUACUCGCAAGGCGGCGUGCUGCCCAGCUUUGACUUCGCGUUCGAUUCGGCCAACUUCUCCGAUCAGAAGCUGCGUAUAGAGAUCGUCGCCCGUGACCACGCGCCGGGUUCCGGCGGACACGUCGGCGGAGGAUCCACUGCCGACCAGGCGCGCCGCCGCAAGGAGAAAGGUCGUGGAUGUCGGGGCGGCAACCCUGAGUGGCUAGCUGCGCAUUUGGCUCUCCGACGAGCAGUGUUGCCAUGGUGUGAUUACUCUUCCUCGAUGAUGGUGGGUACACCAGUUUUACGAGAAAAAACCAUUCAUAUCAAUUCAGCAAUUCUUGCUUCAAGAAGUCCUUUCUUUCUGAAGCUUUUCUCAAAUGGCAUGAAAGAAUCUGAUCAGACGCACCCAACAAUUAGGAUUGCUGAUUCAGAGGAAAAUGCCCUUAUGGAGCUUUUAAGAUAUAUGUACAGCGGAAAGUUGACAACAACGGAGCCCAGUCUAUUGCUCGACAUCUUGAUGGCUGCAGACAAAUUUGAGGUUCUCUCUUGCAUGGGGCAUUGCAGUCAGCUGCUCACAAGCUUGCCUAUGACCACAGAAUCUGCACUGCUUUACCUAGACCACCCUUGCUCGACUUCAUUAUCGGCUGAGGUCGAGGGUGUGAUCAGCGCAGCCAAGGAAUUCCUUGCCAACAAAUACAAUGAUUUUGCUAAGUUCCAGCAUGAACUGAUGAACUUCCCUCUUGCUGGGAUUGAAGCCAUCUUGUCAAGUACUGACCUACAAGUAAUACGGGAAGAUUGCAUAUAUGCCUUUAUGCUCACAUGGGCCCGUGAACGAUACCCAGAAUUGGAGGAAAGACGCGAGAUCUUGAGUUCUCGUUUACUGCCACUGGUACGCUUCAGUCAUAUGACAUGUACAAAACUUCAGGGGAUCCUAGCAUGCAGUGAUGAUGAUAUAGACCAUGAGAAAGUAACUAAACGUAUUGCCGAGGUACUUCUACAAAAAGCUUACCCAAAACAGAUGGAAGGUGCUCUUGCAGCAGACGCAACAACCUGUUGGCAAUUUACUGAGCGAGAGUACAAGUACAAACCUGUGAAAUUGGUUGCUUUUGAUCGACCCUGCCCACAGGUUAUUGCUUACCUGGAUCUAACACGCGAGGACUGCUCCCGACUCUUCCGGUCUGGACAUGCAUGGUCACACGACUUCCGGCUUGCAGGGUGGAAGGGGAGCAUUUAUCUCAGCCCAGUCUGUACAAUGAAUGAGCAGAGUAAGUUGUCCACCUUUGGUCUCCAGUUAAUUGGAUUCGGUUCCACAGAUUUGACACUAGAUAUUGAGUUUGCUGCAAGGACAAGAUCGUCCGGAAAAUUUGUGAGCAAGUACAGUUGUAAGCACACCUUCACCAGUGCUUGGUUGAAAAAAUGCGAUGAUCUUUUUGGCGUUCCAUGGUCGACAUUCAUUGCCGAUGACAACCUCUUCAUCGACGGUGUGCUGCAUCUGAGAGCUGAUUUGGUGGCGGUCCAGCAGACGGAUCAGUUACAGGCCUGA